CUUGGGUAAAUCAGAGGCCAUCAUCAUAAAAUGAGCUCUGGGCCCAAUUAAUGGAAGCCUGCCCACAUGGCACUUAUUGUAGGAUUGCGGCCUUAGCCUCUGUUUGCAAUCAGUGUAUCCAGCUAUAAAGUGGAGAUUCAGCAAAUCUGGACCGAUGAGUAUGUUUCACAAGGCUGGAGAGAAUCCAUCCAGCUACAGGAAGAAGGCAAUAAAACUAAGAACCACAAAAGCAUACAAUCUCUCUCCUCAGUAUUUCCUGCUAUACCACUGGGCCAACCCAUCAAGGAAUGCUUCGAGAUGCCAACUCAUCACUCCACUGCUGCCAUCAACCGCUUUUAGAAAGAUGAAGAAAUUUAGGAAUGUCUGCUUCAGAAGUGGCUUUCUUUAGUCAUCUCUACACACUUCUGGAGCAUGAGGUUCAAUCAUUUCACACAGUGUACUACUAUGCU